ACGUCAUCAUCAAGUGUGUCGUUAUAACAAAACUGAAGAAUCUUCCUUUCCAACUUAUGUCAUCUAGUCACAUCUAGUGUGUGAAAGAUUUUUGUCAAUUAGAAAAUUCACGCUGUUUUCAUUACUCGCAAAAUUUCUUGCAAGGAUUGUUCAUGGAGCCUUUGAAUAAAAUUUAUUAGACUGCUGACGGUAACGCUCUCAUGACAAAAUGGAAUGUGAUUUUCUUUUAAUUUUCAAAUAUCUAACCUGACAAUGGAGUACUUAGGCGAAGCAGUUGCUCUCGGUAUUGACAGUAUAAUAUUUGGAAUUUGUUUAAGACAAUAUUUUCAUUGCAAAAAUGCUAUCGCGGCUGUUAAGGCUGCUGAGUUUCACGAAGUCGGAGAAAAUCUCAAUACAUUAGUCAAUAACAGCCCAGAUAAUCGAGUGGGAUAUGUAGCGAUAAGAGGAGCUGUGAAACCAUUGGGUAAACCACUUUAUAGUAUGACAGACAAAAGAUCGACUGGAGUCAUUCAAAAACUUAGUGUCAAAGAACAUGUUGUUGCUAGAACAACAGCUGGGUUUUGGUCAGACCAAGAACGCACAAUGCAAGAAGUGUACAACAGUGUUCCAUUUGCUUUACAACAAGGAGGCUAUCAAGUAGAAGUGGUAGAUCCAAUGGCAGCUGAUAUAUUAGACUUGGACACAAUUUCUGAUUAUUUUGAGCCAUGUAUUCCAACCAUUGCAGAUCAUAUAUGGGGUUUUUUUACAGGUGUUCGACAACGCGGCCUUCAAUCCACAGAAGAAAUGCUUCGCGACGGUGCAAUAGUUACCGGAAUUGGUGAAUUGUCAAAAUCUGUAACUAAACCUGGUUCAUUAAGCUUACAACCUCCACUUUCUGGAACACCAUUUUACCUCACAACAAUGUCUGUUGGAUCAUUAAUCAGAAAUCUAGAUGACAAGAAAAGAACUUAUAGAUGGCUAUGUCUAAUGUUUGGUGCCAUCGGAAUUUUGAUAGGCGGAAUAAUGGCUCGACGUUAUUGGAAAGAUCAGGAACAGCAACGACACUUAGAUGAAUUACGUCAAUCACUAGAUGCUUCACGAAAAGAACGAAGACGUAGAGUACGGGAUAAAGAUUUAAGAGAAGAUCAACUAUGCGUUGUAUGUCGAUCAAAUCCUCGAGAAAUAAUUCUGCUACCUUGUGGCCAUGUUUGUUUAUGCGAGGAUUGUUCGGAUGACAUAAUCGACGAUUGUCCCGUAUGUCGGACAGGAAUCCGACAGAAAUCAGCAGCGUACUUCGUUUGAUUAAAACAUACCGAUGUACAACGUUGUAACCGAGCAAUGUCUCCUCUCAACACAUUCAUUAAAACAGUCUCUGCGAUAUCGUCAGCAUUGUGCCCAGUUGCAAUGCAAUCCACUCCUAAAAGUGCUGCACCUCUGUCAAGGGCUUGCCUUCGGAAGACACCACAGAAUGUACAAUUAUUCUUUCUACCUAUCUGAGAAAUGUGUCAACAGUUAAGACUAUGAUUUCCAGUAAUGGGCCUAACAUGAGCGUCUUUUCGAAAUGCGAUUGUGGAAAAGGCAUUUACUUUAAGUAUUGCGUUGUUCCCACAUUUAGCGGAGCAUAACACGGGCAUUUUCACGGAUUUUGCCUCUCCGAGAAAAUACCUAUUUCAUGUAGUGGUGGUAACCUAUCAACUAGUAUAAACGCAUUUGCUGAUGUUUGACACUAAAUCAGAGGAAGCCAGUGAAAGCAUAAAUGGCAGUGAUGCUCAGAAAAAUUGUGAUAGGGGCAAAUUUAAGUCGAUAUCGUAGAAAGGUACGGAAUUUCCAUAAAUGAUGGCGACCGUAAGCUUGGAAGGACGUCCGUCUACAGGCAGCACUGUCACUCAUUACGUCAGACCAUAAUGACGUAAUAUGGUUAAUUGCUUCUACUUUCCCAAGUCUGCCUUUAUGAAAAAGCCAAAUCAAAUCCAAAGAAAACACACGAUGCGUGAUGCAUCGGCUCACGGAAUCAUAAAAAUAUGAUUGCCAGAACGGUCUACCAUCGUUGUUGACGUUCAUUUUUACAACGUAAACCACGGUACUUAAUCAUUGCGGCGUUGGAUCAACACGAUGCGAAGAAUCGUGAUCAUUGACUUGUAUACAAGUCUGGGCACUUUACGCAUUUCACGUUUUCCAAGCGUAACCCUAAUGACUGAAAGUUUCUACUUUUAGCCGCAACGCUAAUCUCGGAGAAGCCUACUGCAUUUCACUCUAAUGGCACAUGGAGUCACCUGUAAUAAGUUAAUAGGACACUUUUAAUUUUUAAAGUUUUUUUUAGUACUAAUUGUUUGGUAGUCGUUUGGUGGUGAUUGGUAGUCUAAUUAAAAGGUUUGGUAGUUAAUAGUUCUUCUCGGAUAUUAAAAAUAAAUUUCAGCGAUAAGUUA